rnacentral:rRNA from 1 species
UACGUAGGGUGCAAGCGUUAAUCGGAAUUACUGGGCGUAAAGCGUGCGCAGGCGGUGAUGUAAGACAGGUGUGAAAUCCCCGGGCUUAACCUGGGAACUGCAUUUGUGACUGCAUCGCUGGAGUGCGGCAGAGGGGGAUGGAAUUCCGCGUGUAGCAGUGAAAUGCGUAGAUAUGCGGAGGAACACCGAUGGCGAAGGCAAGCCCCUGGGCCUGCACUGACGCUCAUGCACGAAAGCGUGGGGAGCAAACAGG